rnacentral:tRNA from 1 species
GCGUUCGGGACGCUCGGAACGGCCGGAGCGCUCGGGGCGUUCGGACGGCUCGGGACGUUCGAGCCGUUCGGAGCGCUC